GAACAAGAAUUAUCAAAUUGUGAUUUCUAAUCAAUAGUUUAAGUGUUUUAGACCACUUUUGUUCUU
rnacentral:tRNA from 1 species